UUUCCGUAGGUGAACCUGCGGAAGGAUCAUUAAAGAGUAAGGGUCUUCGGGCCCGAUCUCCAACCCUUUGUUUAACUACCAUGUUGCUUUGGCGGGCCCGUCUCACGACCGCCGGAAGUUUGGCUUCGACCAAACUUCUGGCCCGUGCCCGUCAGUGGCCCCUUCAAAUUCUUGAUCAAGUAUGAUGUCUUAGUUUAAAACUUAAUAGUUAAAACUUUCGACAACGGAUCUCUUGGUUCUG
rnacentral:misc_RNA from 1 species